rnacentral:rRNA from 1 species
UACGUAGGGGGCGAGCGUUGCCCGGAAUUACUGGGCGUAAAGAGCUCGUAGGUGGUUUGUCGCGUUGUUCGUGAAAACUCACAGCUUAACUGUGGGCGUGCGGGCGAUACGGGCAGACUUGAGUACUGCAGGGGAGACUGGAAUUCCUGGUGUAGCGGUGAAAUGCGCAGAUAUCAGGAGGAACACCGGUGGCGAAGGCGGUGAUCUGGGCCGACACUGACGCUGUAGAGCGAAAGCGUGGGGAGCGAACAGG